GAUGAACGCUAGCGGCAGGCCUAAUACAUGCAAGUCGAACGGAUAUAUGUUUUUCGGAAUAUAUAUUAGUGGCGCACGGGUGAGUAACACGUACAUAACUUGCCCUCAAGCGGGGGAUAGCCUUGGGAAACUGAGAGUAAUACCCCAUAGAAUUAUUGGACGGCAUCGUUUGAUAAUUAAAACUACGGUGUUUGGGGAUAGAUGUGCGUCUGAUUAGCUAGUUGGUGAGGUAACUGCUCACCAAGGCGACGAUCAGUAGGGGGCGUGAGAGCGUGGCCCCCCACACGGGUACUGAGACACGGACCCGACUCCUACGGGAGGCAGCAGUAAGGAAUAUUGGUCUAUGGAGGGAACUCUGAACCAGCCAUGCCGCGUGAAGGAUGACGGCCCUCUGGGUUGUAAACUUCUUUUGGAUGGGGCGAAAAAACGGGNUUUAUCCUGGACUGACGGUACCAUCAGAAUAAGCACCGGCUAACUCCGUG
rnacentral:rRNA from 1 species